rnacentral:rRNA from 1 species
GAUGAACGCUGGCGGCGUGCCUAAUACAUGCAAGUCGAGCGAACGGACGAGAAGCUUGCUUUUCUGAUGUUAGCGGCGGACGGGUGAGUAACACGUGGAUAACCUACCUAUAAGACUGGGAUAACUUCGGGAAGCCGGAGCUAAUACCGGAUAAUAUUUUGAACCGCAUGGUUCAAAAGUGAAAGACGGUCUUGCUGUCACUUAUAGAUGGAUCCGCGCUGCAUUAGCUAGUUGGUAAGGUAACGGCUUACCAAGGCAACGAUGCAUAGCCGACCUGAGAGGGUGAUCGGCCACACGGGAACUGAGACACGGUCCAGACUCCUACGGGAGGCAGCAGUAGGGAAUCUUCCGCAAUGGGCGAAAGCCUGACGGAGCAACGCCGCGUGAGUGAUGAAGGUCUUCGGAUCGUAAAACUCUGUUAUUAGGGAAGAACAUAUGUGUAAGUAACUGUGCACAUCUUGACGGUACCUAAUCAGAAAGCCACGGCUAACUACGUG